rnacentral:rRNA from 1 species
AUUGAACGCUGGCGGCAGGCCUAACACAUGCAAGUCGAGCGGCAGCGGGAAAGUAGCUUGCUACUUUUGCCGGCGAGCGGCGGACGGGUGAGUAAUGCCUGGGAAAUUGCCCAGUCGAGGGGGAUAACAGUUGGAAACGACUGCUAAUACCGCAUACGCCCUACGGGGGAAAGCAGGGGACCUUCGGGCCUUGCGCGAUUGGAUAUGCCCAGGUGGGAUUAGCUAGUUGGUGGGGUAAUGGCUUACCAAGGCGACUAUCCCUAGCUGGGUUGAGAGGAGGAUCAGCCACACUGGAACUGAGACACGGUACAGACUCCUACGGGAGGCAGCAGUGGGGAAUAUUGCACAAUGGGGAAACCCUGAUGCAGCCAUGCCGCGUGUGUGGAGAAGGCCUUCGGGCUGUAAAGCACUUUCAGCGAGGAGGAAAGGUUGAUGCCUAAUACGUAUCAACUGUGACGUUACUCGCAGAAGAAGCACCGGCUAACUCCGUGCCAGCCGCCGCGGUAAUAC